CACGUAGGCGGACUAUUAAGUCAGGGGUGAAAUCCCGGAGCUCAACUCCGGAACUGCCUUUGAUACUGGUAGCCUAGAGAUCGGAAGAGGUGAGUGGAAUUCCCAGUGUAGAGGUGAAAUUCGUAGAUAUUGGGAAGAACACCAGUGGCGAAGGCGGCUCGCUGGUCCGAUACUGACGCUGAGGUGCGAAAGCGUGGGGAGCAAACA
rnacentral:rRNA from 1 species